CUCUUGGUUCUGGCAUCGAUGAAGAACGCAGCGAAAUGCGAUAAGUAGUGUGAAUUGCAGAAUUCAGUGAAUCAUCGAAUCUUUGAACGCACAUUGCGCCCUUUGGUAUUCCAAAGGGCAUGCCUGUUCGAGCGUCAUUUGUACCCUCAAGCUUUGCUUGGUGUUGGGCGUCUUGUCUCUAGCUUUGCUGGAGACUCGCCUUAAAGUAAUUGGCAGCCGGCCUACUGGUUUCGGAGCGCAGCACAAGUCGCACUCUCUAUCAGCAAAGGUC
rnacentral:rRNA from 1 species